rnacentral:lncRNA from 1 species
GGAAACCAGGCCAAUCGGAAUCCUCCCAGGGUUUCUCUGGAGCUCUGGAGAAAGAGGCCGUCCUGUGUGCUCAGGAACAGCCAGUGAUGCGCAGGCCUCAGGGCUGUGGGACUGGCUUCAGCGAUCUAGAAACCGAGGCCCCAGGAGAAGUGACCUGACACAGGGCAGCAAUGGCACCCCCUGCAGUGAGCUGUCCACCUUAGGAGUUGCCCGGAGUCCCCCUGCCUUGGACAGCCUCCCACCCAUCCCCAAGGUUAAGCCUGCUCCGGGCCCCUGCCAUUCUCUGGACCUCCUCAUCAUACGCCCACCCGCUGCUGGAAUCCCGCCGUAGCGCCAUCUUCCCCAGGGGCUCUCGGCUCACGCCUGCCGCUCUCAGCACAGUGCCCACGGAUAAAGGCGCCAAUGCGUGUUUGGUUCUCGCUGAUCUUGUCCCUUUCUUUUACCUGGUGGCGCAAGUUACAUGGUCCCUAGUGUUCCCACCUUGCCUUGCCCCUGAACGGGGCUGGAGGAAUGGCUCUCCCCCCUUCAGACAGGCAGCAAGAAGUCAGCCGUGUUUCUACGAGAGCCAGGCUGCAAGACGUGUUCCGCCUAAAGAUCGUGCCCACUCUCUCGCUGCCCCUCCCCGCCCAGCCACGCUGCGGGCCCCAAGCCCGCCAGGAACGCCGCCGCCAAGAAGAAAACAAGCAAGGG